AGGAACGUAGCUCAAUGGUAGAGCAUGUGCUUCGGAUGCAAAAGAGCCAAGGUUCAAUCCUCGGCGUCUCCA